rnacentral:rRNA from 1 species
CGGAGGCACGAGCACAGGGAUUGCCUUAGUAACGGCGAGUGAAGCGGCAACAGCUCAAAUUUGAAAUCUGGCCUCUGGCCCGAAUUGUAAUUUGCAGAGGAUGCUUCGAGCAUAGCACGGUCUGAGUUCCCUGGAACGGGACGCCAGAGAGGGUGAGAGCCCCGUACAGAUCAGUGCUUCUGUUCAUGUGAGGCUCCUUCGACGAGUCGAGUUGUUUGGGAAUGCAGCUCUAAAUGGGUGGUAAAUUUCAUCUAAAGCUAAAUAUUGGCCAGAGACCGAUAGCGCACAAGUAGAGUGAUCGAAAGAUGAAAAGCACUUUGGAAAGAGAGUUAAAUAGCACGUGAAAUUGUUAAAAGGGAAGCGCUCGCAACCAGACUUGCGCGUAGCUGAUCAUCUAGCGUUCUCGCUGGUGCACUCAGUUACGCUCAGGCCAGCAUCAGUUUUGGUGGCCGGAUAAAGGCCCUAGGAACGUAGCUGCUCCGGCAGUGUUAUAGCCUAGGGUGCCAUGCGGCCCGCCGAGACUGAGGUCUGCGCAUCGCAAGGAUGCUGGCGUAAUGGUUGUGAGCGACCCGUCUUGAAACACGGACCAAGGAGUCUAACAUCUAUGCGAGUGUUCGGGUGUUAAACCCCUACGCGUAAUGAAAGUGAACGGAGGUGAGAGCCUUUUAGGUGCAUCAUCGACCGAUCCUGAUGUCUUCGGAUGGAUUUGAGUAAGAGCAUAGCUGUUGGGACCCGAAAGAUGGUGAACUAUGCUUGGAUAGGGUGAAGCCAGAGGAAACUCUGGUGGAGGCUCGCAGCGGUUCUGACGUGCAAAUCGAUCGUCAAAUCUGAGCAUGGGGGCGAAAGACUAAUCGAACCAUCUAGUAGCUGGUUCCUGCCGAAGUUUCCCUCAGGAUAGCAGGGUUGUAUUCAGUUUUAUGAGGU